rnacentral:rRNA from 1 species
CGCACGGGUGAGUAACACGUAUCCAACCUGCCGUCUACUCUUGGACAGCCUUCUGAAGGAAGAUUAAUACAAGAUGGCAUCAUGAGUUCACAUGUUCACAUGAUUAAAGGUAUUCCGGUAGACGAUGGGGAUGCGUUCCAUUAGAUAGUAGGCGGGGUAACGGCCCACCUAGUCUUCGAUGGAUAGGGGUUCUGAGAGGAAGGUCCCCCACAUUGGAACUGAGACACGGUCCAA